rnacentral:rRNA from 1 species
ACAGCAGUCGCCGCGGGAAUACGUAGGUGGCAAGCGUUGUCCGGAAUUAUUGGGCGUAAAGGGCUCGCGGGCGGUUUCUUAAGUCUGAUGUGAAAGCCCCCGGCUCAACCGGGGAGGGUCACUGGAAACUGGGAAACUUGAGUGCAGAAGAGGAGAGUGGAAUUCCACGUGUAGCGGUGAAAUGCGUAGAGAUGUGGAGGAACACCAGUGGCGAAGGCGACUCUCUGGUCUGUAACUGACGCUGAGGAGCGAAAGCGUGGGGAGCGAACAGGAUUAGAUACCCCUGUAGUCCCUGUCUCUUAUAC